GAUGAACGCUGGCGGCGUGCCUAAUACAUGCAAGUCGAGCGAACGGACGAGAAGCUUGCUUCUCUGAUGUUAGCGGCGGACGGGUGAGUAACACGUGGAUAACCUACCUAUAAGACUGGGAUAACUUCGGGAAACCGGAGCUAAUACCGGAUAAUAUUUUGAACCGCAUGGUUCAAAAGUGAAAGACGGUCUUGCUGUCACUUAUAGAUGGAUCCGCGCUGCAUUAGCUAGUUGGUAAGGUAACGGCUUACCAAGGCAACGAUGCAUAGCCGACCUGAGAGGGUGAUCGGACACACUGUAACUGAGACACGGUCCACACUCCGACGGUGGGCAGCAGUAGGGAAUCUUCCGCAAUGGGCGAGAGCCUGACGGAGCAACGCCGCGUGAGUGAUGAAGGUCUUCUGAUCGGAAAACUCUGUUAUUGUGGAAGAACAUAUGUGUAAGUACCUGUGCACAUCUUGACGGUACCUAAUCAGAAAGCUACGGCUAACUACGUG
rnacentral:rRNA from 1 species